rnacentral:lncRNA from 12 species
AUCUUAACUUUGCUUCUCAAAUCCCCUUGCCCUUCUCCCCUACCUGUGUGCACAGCAGCUGUGGUGAGUUUUCUUUUCUUUUCUUUUCUUUUUUCUUUUCUUUUCUUUUUUCUUUUCUUUUCUUUUCUUUCUUUUCUUUUCUUUUCUUUUCUUUUCUUUUCUUUCCUUUUCUUUUUUUCUUUUCUUUUCUCUUCUUUUCUUUUUUUCUUUCUUUUCUUUUCUUUUCUUUUCUCUUUUCUUUCUUUUCUUUUCUUUUCUUUUCUUUUCUUUUCUUUUCUUUUCUUUCUUUUCCUUUCUUCUUUUCUUUUCUUUUCUUUCUUUUCCUUUCUUCUUUUCUUUUCUUUCUUUUCUCUUCUUCUUCUUUUUUUAUUUUUUUUCUUCUUUUUUUUAAAGAUUUUUAUUUAUUUAUUCAUGAAAGACCCAGAGAGAGAGAGGCAGAGGAAGAAGCAGGCUCCCUGCGGGGAGCCUGAUGUGGAACUCGAUCCUAGGAUCCUGGGAUCACGACCUGAACCAAAGGCAGAAGCUCAACAGCUGACCCACUCAGGCAUCCCAGCUGUGGUAACCACACAAAAUCAUAAACUGCCUUUACCUACAUCACUGUUUUCAAAUAAUUAUCUUUCUAUUGACUGUUGGGAAACGUCUCAUUUCCACAAUAACUGGGAAGGAUUUCCUUUAAGGUGAGUUACAGUGAUGAAGGCAGUAGAAUCACUUCUUGGUUUAUUAACUACAAACUCUUUCUUGAUACAUUUGGCACUCUUCUGGCUAAAGGUAAUUCCAAGAUAUCACACAUGGAAUUUUCAUUGACAGUAAAAACUCAUUAUUUACAAGUUACAUUUGCCUUUUUAAAUUUUUUUCUCUUGCUGUUUCUUUUUCUAUUUUCCACCCACAUGUUCUUUUGCAUUUUCUCAAGUUUCCAGGAUUUUCACUGGGAAAUGAGGUUUAAAGUGCUGGUAGUUCUUAAUAUUCAAGUAGCUGAUGAGUCCUUGGCUUUUUGAUUUUGAGACAUUUCCCUGCAGAGCAGAUGUCCUCCUAUAUGGAGUUUAAUGAGUUUUCACUAUUCAACAGAUAUCUUUUUUUUUUUUUUUUUUUUUUUAAGAUUUUGUUUAUUUAUUUGAGAGAGAGAGAGAGCUUCCAUGAGCUGGGUUCAGGAGGAGGAGGGGCAGGCGGGGGCAGUGGAAGAAGGACUGCUGAACAGGGAACCUAACUCAGGGGUCAAUCCCAGGACCCUGAGGUCCUGACCUGAGCUGAAGGAGACAUUUAACCUGAACCACCAUUCUUCCCCAACUGAUACUUCUUUGGUUAAUAUUCUUUCUAAUAUUGAGUUGUAAAACCUAGUGGCAUAUGUUGUUAAUGAGAAACACCCACAUAAUAAUUUUAUAUUACUUGUAAUAAGUACUAUUAUUUUAAAUAUUAAAGAAUGCAUAUAAUACUUCAUACAUACUGA